UACGUAGGGUGCGAGCGUUUGUCCGGAAUUAUUGGGCGUAAAGGGCUCGUAGGCGGUUUGUCGCGUCGGGAGUGAAAAUCCACUGGCUUAACUGGUGGCUUGCUUUCGAUACGGGCAGACUGGAGGUAUGCAGGGGAGAACGGAAUUCCUGGUGUAGCGGUGAAAUGCGCAGAUAUCAGGAGGAACACCGGUGGCGAAGGCGGGUCUCGUGGGCCGAUACUGACGCUGAGGAGCGAAAGCGUGGGGAGCGAACAGG
rnacentral:rRNA from 1 species